GCAGGUAUCAUCUGCAGUGGGCUCCACAGUCGUCCUGCCGUGUGAAUAUAAAGAUCCGUCUGUCCAAACACCUCAUGUGGAGUGGUUUGUUGAUCGUGAGGCAGUGUUUGAGCGACGGGGUAAAGAGACAUUUCAGGGUGAAGGAUAUGAGGGUCGUGUGGAUGUUCCUGAGGACGAGCUGCUUAAAGGAAACUGUUCCCUGGUGUUGAAGAACGUCACUGUUACUGAUGAAGCUGAGUACAGAAGCUCCAUAUUAGGAAGCCACACAAAGAAACCUGUCUCAGUCCAAAAAGUUCAACUUUCAGUCUACGAAAAAACUAAAGAGUGGGAAAAAGAAACACCACAGCAAGGAAAAAAUGAAGAGUGGGAAAAAGGAACACCACACUCAGGUAAGUACAUAUCAAACUUCAUUUACAACAUUAUAAAUUGUCAGGGUUGCCAUUUUUCUGUCAUUUUAUGUUGUUGCUGCCCUUUUGGAUACUACCUGUUGAGUCGUCGCCACAACCG